CCUAAAACGUCCGUAGCCGGUUUGGUAAAUCUGUGGGUAAAUCAACUAGCUUAACUAGUUGAAUUCUGCAGAGACUGCCAGACUAGGAACCGGGAGAGGUGUGGGGUACUCAAGGGGUAGGGGUAAAAUCCUGUCAUCCUUUGAGGACCACCAGUUGCGAAGGCGCCACACUGGAACGGAUUCGACGGUCAGGGACGAAGCCUAGGGGCACGAACCGGAUUAGAUACCCGGGUAGUCCUAGGUGUAAACGCUGUGAACUUGGUGUCGGGAGUCCGCAAUGGGCCCCCGGUGCCGGAGUGAAGAUGUUAAGUUCACUGCCUGGGGAGUACGGUCGCAAGGCUGAAACUUAAAGGAAUUGGCGGGGGAGCACUGCAACGCGAGGAGCGUGCGGUUUAAUUGGAUUCAACGCCGGAAAACUCACCAUGGCCGACUGUUAGAUGAAGACCAGCGUAAUGAGCUUGUCGGAUUUUCAGAGAGGUGGUGCAUGGCCGUCGUCAGUUCGUACUGUAAAGCGUUCUGUUAAGUCAGAU
rnacentral:rRNA from 1 species